GGGGGAGCCAUGGCCGCCGGGGCUGGGCCGCUCCGGGGCCGGGCAGGUUCACAACAAAUAGGAAGUAUGUACAGUGAUAAGCACAAGAAGCUACAAUUUUACACCUACAAGCCUCUUUCCAGCUGCUCGAGAAACACCCUGGGAAUUCCUGUUGGCUCCAGCGUGUAACCUGAUUCAUGGCAAGGAACGCAGGAGGGAGAAACCACAGCUUAUCAGAAAGGAGGAAAAAAUGCAGGUAGAGAAUGGGAGAGGGAGGGUCACUUGAACUUUGGGCUCCCCUGUCACAUUCCUGGCUGGAUGCCAGCUCUCCUCUCCUUGGAGACUUGGAAUUGGCUCCAAAGAGUGAGAUUCACCUGGGGCGAGCUGCACCCUGUCCUCCUGCCUCCUAAAAACGCUGCUAUCAUCAUUGCUCUCCAAAGUGCACUCUAGAAGGCAUUUUAUCUUCAUGAAUUGAGAUUUCUUAAGAGCAAUACACGAAUCAGGUAUCAUUGACACAACUUGGUUCUCUUCACUCAUAAAUUUUCUACUUUAUUGGUGGGAAAAUGUGAUGUUUUCUGUUCCCACGCUACUCUUGUUAAGUUCACGGUGUUGUUUUUGUUUUCACUGUUAAACACUUGGGAAGCGAUGAAAUAUCCUUCUCAAAGUAGAUCAAAACCUAAAGAAAAAUGACCAAAUUUUAGGUGCUCCCAAAAGGGAAGCCCAAGGGAUUGGCCAUUCCAGAGUCAUCCUGGGAUUUCACAUUAAAACACUGCAGUAUGGCAAAGAUCCCCUCAC